rnacentral:rRNA from 1 species
AUAAACGCUGGCGGCGCACAUAAGACCUGCAAGUUGAACGGACUUAAUCGAAAUAUUUAUAUUUUGAAGCGGUUAGUGGCGGACUGGUGAGUAACGCGUAAGGAACCUGCCUAUUAGAGGGGAAUAACAGUGAGAAAUCAUUGCUAAUACCGCAUAUGCCAUAGAUAUCACAUGAUAACAGUGGGAAAGGAGCAAUCCGCUAAUAGAUGGCCUUGCGUCUGAUUAGAUAGUUGGUGGGGUAACGGCCUACCAAGUCGACGAUCAGUAGCCGGACUGAGAGGUUGAACGGCCACAUUGGGACUGAGAUACGGCCCAGACUCCUACGGGAAGCAGCAGUCGGGAAUAUUGCGAAAUGGAGGAAACUCUGACGCAGUGACGCCGCGUAUAGGAAGAAGGUUUUCGGAUUGUAAACUAUUGUCGUUAGGGAAGAGAAAGGACAGUACCUAAGGAGGAAGCUCCGGCUAACUACGU